rnacentral:rRNA from 1 species
GAUGAACGCUGGCGGCGUGCCUAAUACAUGCAAGUCGAGCGAACGGACGAGAAGCUUGCGUCUCUGAUGUUAGCGGCGGACGGGUGAGUAACACGUGGAUAACCUACCUAUAAGACUUGGAUAACUUCGGAAAACCGGAGAUAAUACCGGAUAAUAUUUUGAACCGCAUGGUUCAAAAGUUAUAGACGGUCUUCGUGUCACUUAUAGAUGGAUCCGCGCUGCAUUAGCUAGUUGGUAAGGUAACGGCUUACCAAGGCGACGAUGCAUAGCCGACCUGAGAGGGUGAUCGGCCACACUGGAACUGAGACACGGUCCAGACUCCUACGGGAGGCAGCAGUAGGGAAUCUUCGGCAAUGGGCGAAAGCCUGACGGAGCAACGCCGCGUGAGUGAUGAAGGUCUUCGGGUCGUAAAACCCUGUUAUUGGGGAAGAACAGAUGUGGAAGUAACUGUGCAUGUCUUGACGGUACCUAAACAGAAAGCAACGGCUAACUACGUG